GGUGAUCAGUUGUCCUGGUUUGCCUGGGACUGAGGGGUUUGCCUUAUGCGGGACUUCCAGUGCUAAAACCAG
rnacentral:miRNA from 1 species